rnacentral:misc_RNA from 1 species
GAUGGAUUCACUCCAUUGGCAGUGGCCAUGCAACAGGGCCACGACAAAGUUGUGGCUGUGCUUUUAGAGAACGACACCAGGGGAAAAGUGCGACUUCCCGCCCUCCAUAUAGCUGCUAAAAAAGACGACGUUAAGGCAGCUGCUUUGCUCCUACAGAAUGAGCACAACCCUGAUGUUACAUCGAAAAGUGGCUUUACACCUCUACAUAUUGCCGCUCAUUACGGCAAUGAUAAAGUGGCCUCUUUGCUCUACGAGAAGGGUGCCAAUGUGAACUAUACAGCAAAGCACAACAUCACACCCAUUCACGUGGCCAGCAAAUGGGGUAAAAUUAACAUGGUGACUUUGUUGGUGGCAAAAGGAGCGGAUAUUCAAGCUAAAACGCGGGACGGGCUCACCCCUCUUCACUGUGCCGCCCGGAGUGGACACGAUCAAGUCGUUGACAUGCUUUUGGAAAAUGGUGCACCUAUUCAUGCCAAAACCAAGAAUGGUUUGGCACCACUUCAUAUGGCAGCGCAAGGAGAGCACGUGGAUGCAGCCCGAAUCCUUCUCUACCACGGAGCGCCUGUAGACGAAGUCACUGUAGACUAUCUCACUGCUUUACACGUGGCAGCGCAUUGUGGACACGUGAGGGUUGCUAAGUUGUUGCUAGAGCGCGGUGCCGACGUCAACGCUAGAGCCUUGAAUGGUUUUACACCUUUACAUAUUGCCUGCAAGAAGAACAGGUUGAAGAUGGUGGAGUUACUGAUCAAGCAUGGAGCAAGUAUUGGGGCCACUACCGAGAGCGGUUUGACCCCACUACAUGUGGCCAGUUUUAUGGGAUGUAUGAACAUCGUCAUAUAUCUGCUUCAGCACGAUGCCAGCCCGGAUAUUCCUACCGUGCGAGGCGAGACGCCCCUGCAUUUAGCAGCCAGAGCCAAUCAAACGGAUAUUAUUCGAAUACUUCUGCGAAAUGGGGCGUCAGUGGACGCGAAAGCCCGUGAAGAGCAGACGCCUCUUCACGUCGCCUCGCGAUUGGGCAACGUAGACAUCGUAAUGCUGCUGUUGCAACAUGGUGCUCAACCCGGGGCUACAACCAAAGACUUGUAUACGCCCCUCCAUAUCGCCGCCAAGGAAGGACAGGAGGAAGUUGCUUCUGUUCUUUUGGAUAAUGGCGCCGACCUGACUGCCACUACGAAAAAGGGUUUUACGCCUCUUCACUUGGCGGCUAAAUAUGGUCAUCUGAACGUCGCGCGACUCUUACUACAGCGAGACGCUCCUGCUAACGCUCAAGGUAAAAACGGAGUUACUCCACUUCACGUAGCGGCUCAUUACGAUCAUCAGCCAGUUGCACUACUUCUACUGGACAAGGGCGCUUCACCUCAUGCUGCUGCCAAAAAUGGCCACACACCUUUGCACAUCGCGGCUCGAAAAAAUCAGAUGGAUAUUGCAACUACACUUUUGGAAUACAGCGCUCAAGCUGAUGCAGAAUCCAAAGCGGGAUUCACACCUUUGCAUUUGAGCGCCCAAGAAGGUCAUUCUGACAUAUCUUCCUUACUAUUAGAGCAUAAAGCCAAUGCCAACCAAACUUCCAAGAACGGUUUGACUCCGCUACAUCUCUGUGCUCAAGAGGAUAGAGCUGCAGUUGCUCAGUUGUUACUACGGGCUGGCGCAAUAAAAGACGCCGAAACGAAGAGUGGAUACACACCGUUACAUGUUGCUUGCCACCAUGGGCAUGUGAAUAUGGUAAGGCUAUUAUUGGAGCAAGGAGCCGAAGUCAAUCCAGUCACAGGGGCGGGAUACACGCCACUGCAUCAGGCCGCUCAACAGGGACAUGUUUUGGUUAUCAGUCUUUUGUUGAAGAAUAAGGCAGAUCCUAAUGCAGUUACGCAAAAUGGGCAAACCGCAUUGGGAAUUGCAAAGAAACUGGGAUACAUCAGUGUGGUCGAAGAGCUGAAGGUUGUGACCGAAACGACCAUAAAUACAACAACCACUUUGAACAUCGAAGAAAAAUAUAAAGUGAUGGCACCGGAAGCGAUGCAGGAAACCUUUAUGUCAGAUUCUGAGGAUGAAGGCGGCGGAGUGGACGAGCCGCCAGUGGUAUUCGGCCGACCCACGCAUGCCCAACAUGUAUAUCUUCCGUAUUACCAGGGACAAAUGAACUAUACACGUGACGAUCCGCUGUUGGGCGAUCAGCAACAGUACAAAUACAUGACUGUCGACGACAUGAAGUCUUUGGGAGACGAUUCCAUGCGAAUGGACGUUACUCACGAUGAGAAAAGCGAAUACAAUCGAAAUUCUCUGGCUCCCUCGCAUAUUAGCAACGAGCUGAUCAUUCAACCGCAACAUGUUAAAGAGUCUUUCUCUCAGCCGGACAAUGUUGACAUCAACAGGCAACCCGUUACCGCCGGUGUCCCCAGUUGGAAAAACUUUUUGGUGUCUUUCCUGGUGGAUGCACGCGGAGGUGCCAUGCGCGGCUGCAGACAUUCAGGAGUCAGAGUAAUUGUACCACCGCGAUGUGCUCACGCCCCUACGCGGGUGACAUGCCGUUACGUUAGAGCGCACAGAGCUCCCCAUCCGCCACCCCUAAUGGAGGGUGAAGCUUUAGCCAGUCGGCUUCUGGAACUGGGACCAGUAGGAGCCAAGUUCUUAGGGCCUGUUAUAAUCGAGGUGCCCCACUUUGCAUCGCUGAAAGGCAAACAUCGCGAAAUUGUGGUGCUGAGAUCGGAAAAUGGAGAGACCUGGAAGGAGCACACUUUGGAAGCCAACGAGGAGGCGAUCCAAGACGUUUUGAACCACAGCUUUGAUGGCGAAGAAUUAAGCCAAUUGGAGGAUCUGCACACGAACCGCAUUACCCGAAUUCUCACCAACGACUUCCCGCAUUAUUUCGCGGUGGUUUCACGAAUAAGACAGGAGAUUCAUGCUGUUGGCCCAGACGGAGGGACCGUUUCCAGUGCUGCUGUACCUUUAGUGCAAGCCGUCUUUCCGGCCAAUGCCUUAACCAAGAAGAUCCGAGUCGGAUUACAGGCCCAAGCAAUCGAGCCGGAAUUGGUUACAAAGCUUUUGGGGCAUGGAGUUGCAGUUUCUCCCAUACUGACUGUCGAGCCAAGAAGACGAAAGUUCCACAAGGCUAUCAUGCUGAGCAUGCCAGCCCCUAAAGCUCACUCUCGAGGCAUGAUCAACCAGUACCAAGGGGUUUCCAGCACCACUUUGAGGCUGCUUUGUUCCAUCACAGGUGGCCAAAGCAAAGCAAUUUGGGAAGAUGUAACUGGCUCCACUCCGCUGAACUUUGUUAAAGACUGCGUGUCUUUUACCACAACAGUGUCCGCUAGAUUUUGGCUUAUGGAUUGCAGAAAUGUGGCCGAUGCAGCCAAAAUGGCCACCGAACUUUACACUCAGGCUGCUCAUGUGCCAUUUAUGGCUAAAUUCGUCGUUUUUGCCAAGAGAGUGAGUCAACUGGAAGCCCGGGUGCGCGUGUUUUGCAUGACCGACGAUAAAGAAGACAAGACACUGGAACACCAAGAGCAUUUUACUGAAGUUGCCAAAAGUCGAGAUAUUGAGAUUUUGGAAGGCAAAGAUAUUUUCAUGGAGUUUGCCGGAAAUUUGGUACCCGUUCUCCAAUCUAACGAUCAGCCAAAGCUGGGAUUCAAAGCUUUCAAGGAGAACCGAUGCGCGUUUAAUAUGAGAUUAAAGGAUCAUGAUGAAGAUGCAGUAGGAAGAAUAAUCUUCAUGGCGGAGCCUAAAGCAGGACGCACUGGAUAUACGACAAGCAAUCCCCUAUGCACUUUGAACCUGAUUUUACCAAAGGACGUUCUACCUGACAGAGACUCACAAAGCGAUUUGUUAUCCAUUAACAAAGACCACAGCUACUUGCAUCAUGGUGGAAUCAGCAAACCCGAUACGAUCCAUCGGGCUGACUUCCGAUUGUCAGACAUUUGCAAUCUGCUGGACGAGGACUGGGAGAAAUUGGCCCAAGAGUUGGACAUUGCUCCAUCAGAUGUGGAACUGAUCAAAGAAGAAUAUCCCGAAAACCAUCCACAACAAGCCAUGAUCAUGUUCCGUUUGUGGUUGAGGCAAAAAGCCAACAAAGCAACUGGAAAUCAGCUGGAACGAGCGCUUAACAAGAUCGGAAGACAGGAUAUUGUGGACAAGUGCAUCUGCAACGUUGAGAUGGUAACUGAUGACAUGGAGAAGGCCCUGGCCAAGAUUCAUUUGGAUCAGUCAGGCUUUGACUACCUAAAAGAUGAACUUGGGCCUUCUAGAGAUACAUCAUUGAGGCGAGAUACCCAUCUCGACAAGUCAUACCUGGGCAGCGAUGAGAAGCUGGAACGAAGCGAAAAAAGUGAUGAUAUUCAAAAUGAGAACCUAAACUCGACGAGCAGAGAUGUAGCGGACACCAGCAUUGAUCAAAUUCCGCCCCACAACGAGCAAGUUGUUCUAGACAAUACUCCCAGAACCAACGGCAACCGAGAGGAAAUUCUUGAGCAGAUUACCGAACAGUUUAACACGCUCCAAACAGGAGCACCAUCACAAGCUGUAAACUCUUUCGGGGGAACCCCGCCACCAAGUCCGGCCGAAGUAUUCGAGGACAUUGUCAAUAAAAAUGUCGGGGAAAUUGAGAACCAAAAAGGAAUUUCACCAGAACCAGACGCAGUCCAAGAGCAAGUGAUCUUCUCCUCGACCCCCUUAAAAAAACCUCUAGAACCCACCCCAGAUCCCAUCGAAGUUUUAAAGAGGAACGUCAGCGACACGUUAACUUUUUUGCACCAAGAAAGAAACGAUUUUUUGCCGGAAGAUGAUAUCAUCAUUCCCAGCAGAAAGGACGAUCAUAUUGCUAAUGAAAUCGACUUGGAGUAUAUCAGUUUGAAGACUCCCAAGAAGAAUCAAGAAUUAGCAGCACAGCCUGAGGAAGUACUCGAGCCAUCAGCACCUCCACACGAGGAGGUUGCAAUUGAAGAACCCAAAUCUCUUAUUGAUGAAACACUAACAGUGACUUCAAUCGAAGAAAAGUCCAUUUCAGAACCACUCUUGGUAGAAAAUCACACGGCUGAGGAUGAAGUAGUAACAAAUAAUUCCCAAGACCAACAGUCUUCACCGUCCGUUAGAAAAGUUCCCGAAAUUUCCUUUCAAGAACACGUUGAAGUAAACUCUUUUGACCAAUCGCCUGCAAAUGCUUUUGAAGAAUCUCUCAGAGAUGUUGCAGAGCAGGAGGUCGAAGAAGUGAUCAGACAGGCAGAAGACGUUGUUAAUGACCUACAGCUAAACGGAGAUGAAUUCCAGGAAAAGGGAAAGGAAAUAAAGUUCACUGUAGAAGAGAGAGCGGACAGUAUUUUAGACGAUAUUAGAACUAAUACGGAGGACUCGUUAGACAACCUAGAGAGCCUAAAAGACGACUCUAUUAGUGCAAUACAGGAGAAAAGCGAAGAGGCUUUUAAGUUUUUGGAAAAUGAAGCAUCCAGCCCGUUGCUUUGUAAAGUGAGCAUGUCGGAAGACGUGUUCAAACCGAGCCUGCUGGACGAUUCUGCGACAUUCAUCCAAAAGGAGGCUGAUCCUGAUUUAAAGAGCGAGGACUCGAAUAUUUCUAUAGAGUCGCAAAGCGGAGACUCUCUCAGUCCAAUAAGCCCUAGGAGCUCGAUACCUCUACCGAAGGCCAGGAAAGGCAAGGACAAGAAGAAAAAGGGAAAAGGCAAAAGUGCGGAAGUUUCAGAAAAACUAGUCACCUUCGAGGUUGAGCCAGUACGGGAAUGUAAAUCUCCGGAAGAGGACGAGCUCUUGAGUAAAAUUCCGAUAAUCAAAGGUACAAAAGUGAAAACAAUCAAAAAACAUUCUAAGGACCCGCUCAAGGAGUUUGCCAACAUUUCCAAAGACUUCGAUUGGGAUAAGGACGAUGAAGAAACCGUCACUACCAAAAUAAUUAAAACCGUUACAACCACGGAGCCCAUUGUGAAGACUGUCGUAACGCGAAUAAGUUCCGAAGGAGCCGAUGGCGCUAAAAGCAAAAUCCCAGUACUGAGUGGCGAGUCGUCUUUACUAAGUGAGAACAAUGUAGCGAGUGAAAUCGACCUGCAAGGCACACCAAAAAGCAAAAUUCCAGUCCUUAAAACCGAAAGCAUUAUUAUAAGCUCGCCCGACAGCAUUCGCACCGAGAAAUCCGUUUCUCCAAAUACGACCCGAGUGGUAGAAACCACAACCACAACGAUCAUUUCUCCGAUAUCGCGAACAGUUGUUACAGCUGAUUCCGAUUCCGAAGACGAUUCCCGACAGACGUCUCCUCCUCUGAAAGGAAUUCUUAAGAAAGCGGCCAAUCAACAGCAUCCGCUUUCCGGCAAUCCGAUUGGCAGUUCGAGCGGGUCUGAUAUAGCUCUUCAUGAGGAAGGAGCCGAGCUGAGUUCGGACUCUGCGUUUGGCCUGCCCGAUGACCAAAAACAGUGCUUACAGACCGCUGCCUCCUGGCAUGCCUUGUACGUUCCCCUAGUCUGGUCCUUAUUCGCAAUCGCUACAAGCAUGGUCGUUCUGGCACUUUUCGCACAGUACUAGUCAUAUGAGGAUUUUUACCACCAAGAGCCGCAAUACACUGAGACCACCAUAGAAGAAGUUGAUCCAGUCACUGGUGCAAAAAUCACUAGAACAAUCAGAACUCUCGUUAGUCAUUCCAUAGUGUCGCCGAACGAGUCGGAGCUUCGUCAAACCAUGCAAAAUGUCCUGGACCAAUUUAUGUCUGAAGAGCGCAAUCCGCGUUAAAGCGUGGCAAUUUUUUUCUGAAGGUUUUUCAACAUGAAAGUUUAAUGUUAAUUGUCGCAGUAUUUUCCUACCGGUGAUUUUUACACUUUACGUUCUCUUGAUUGUUUUAAUGUUAAAUUGUGGUUUCAAAUUUAAUUUUUGUACAAAAAUGCAUUUUUAUUUAUAUUAAUUGAUAGACAUUUUCAUUUUCCGUUCAUACGAAAUGAAAUUGUUGAUAGUUUUAAUAUUCGAAUUAGAAACACAUUGAAUGCCAAUUGUAGAAAUUUUAAACAUUAUAAAUGAACUUAUAGGGAGAACUUAAAAUAAAUGAGUUUAACUAGAAUAAGACAGAAAUAAUGCCCUUUUCUACACAUUUAAACCUACUUCUAGAGACUACUAUAGUGCCUGAACUUUUCCUUGAAAUCGCUCUUUUCAAGAGAAAGUUUAUCUUAUUUACAUUAUUAUUGAGUCAAUUGGGCCAAAUAUAUAUUCAUGAUGUUCGACGUUCCGAUGGAAAUGCUUGUGCUAAGCUAAUGUUAAAAUAUAUUUGACCCAUCGGUGAUUGUUAUUUAUUGCAAAAUAACAUUCCGUACUAAUUAAUAAAAAUUUCAAAUUCAACUGUUAUUCUUCAAUAAAUUAACAAAACAUCGCAGGUGCUGAAAUGGUACUAAAAACUGUUUUGUCCCAGACAGACACAUUGUGAAUUUUAUUAUAAGAAUUUUAAUAUAUAUUUAUUAUGGUAUACAUAAAAUGCUUUUAAACGAUGGACUAAAGUUAUUGAACUUGUAGAAAUGGUUGCUUAAUCUUAAUAUAUGAGAACUUGUUUUCGGAAAUAAAUGUGUGGUGUACAGAU